rnacentral:lncRNA from 1 species
CAAUUUGAAAACAGGACCAAAAAUUAAGAAUCUAAAUACACGGUUAGAUUUGGCAUAUCAAAGAACCCCAAUAAUUCAUUUUUUGAUGAAAUCAAACAAAGUUUAAUUUUGGCCCCUUUUGGUCCCUAAUUCCUUAACUGUUUGGACCAAAACUCCCAAAAUCAAUCCCAACCUUCCUUUUGUGGUCAUAACCCUUGUGUUAAAAUUUCAUAGAUUUCUAUUUACUUAUACUAAAGUUAUUGUGCAAAAAUCAAGAAAAAUGCUUAUUUGGGCCCUUUUUGGACCCUUAUUCCUAAACUGUUGGGACCAAAACUCCCAAAAUCAAUCCCAACCUGCCUUUUAUAGUCAUAAACCUUGUGUUUAAAUUUCAUACAUUUCUAUUUACU